CGUGGCGCCGGCAAGAUGGGCA
rnacentral:misc_RNA from 1 species